rnacentral:rRNA from 1 species
GCUUGUCUCAAAGAUUAAGCCAUGCAUGUCUAAGUAUAAACGCUUUGUACUGUGAAACUGCGAAUGGCUCAUUAUAUCAGUUAUAGUUUAUUUGAUCGAGUAGCUUGCUACGUGGAUAACCGUAGUAAUUCUAGAGCUAAUACAUACCUCAAAUCCUAACUACCUCGGUGGAAGGGACGUAUUUAUUAGAUGGAAACCAAUUUGGCGCAAGUCAAUAUCUUGGUGAUUCAUAAUAACUUUUCAGAUCGCAUGCCUCGGCGGCGCGUGAUCAUUCAAGUUUCUGCCCUAUCAGCUCUGGAUGGUAGGGUAUUGGCCUACCAUGGCUUUGACGGGUAACGGGGAAUUGGGGUUCGAUUCCGGAGAGGGAGCCUGAGAGAUGGCUACCACAUCCAAGGAAGGCAGCAGG